rnacentral:lncRNA from 1 species
GAGGAGCUCGCCGGAGGCGAGGUGAGGUCCCUCUCCUUCCUCUCUCUUGGCCGUGGGCCACUAUUUUCUUGGAAAUCCGGCCGGAAAGCCGUCGGAUCGAUGUGAACCAAACUCCCCUGUUUUCGUUUUGCUUUUCCUCUUUCAUUCUAGUUGGCCGUCGCUGGUCGUGGCGCACCGCCGGCACCACCGGCACUGCCGGGGCCGUCAGUCAUGGGGCAGUGUCGACCAUGUGCCACCGACUCGUUAGAAUCCGGCCGGACUGAUAGGGGAAAGCCGAGCCCUUGAUCAACUUUCUCUUCU